UGGCAUCUAGUGUGUACAUAUGAAUGACAAACAUACAAUAUUUUGUAAUAAAAAUAUGUCAAUGAACCCAGCAAGCAGAAACAACUGGAUCGGGCUCGACUGCUUUGGCUGGUUGCAUACAGUCGCACAAAACCAAUAUACCCUUGUUACUCAUUUUCGAUAUGACAGGACAUAAAAAGAAUGCCAAUAUGCCACAGACCUUCAAGUCAUCAAAAAGCAUCUGAGUCCAAAAAGGACAGCUGAGUAGCUAUAUAUUUCAAAUACAGCCAAAUACAAACAUACGUAGUAAAUACAUAGAACACAAAGAAAAUAUAA